rnacentral:rRNA from 1 species
CGGACGGGUGAGUAAUGCUUGGGAAUCUAGCUUAUGGAGGGGGAUAACUACGGGAAACUGUAGCUAAUACCGCGUAAUAUCGGAAGAUUAAAGUGUGGGACCUUCGGGCCACAUGCCAUAGGAUGAGCCCAAGUGGGAUUAGGUAGUUGGUGAGGUAAAGGCUCACCAAGCCGACGAUCUCUAGCUGGUCUGAGAGGAUGACCAGCCACACUGGAACUGAGACACGGUCCAG